rnacentral:rRNA from 1 species
AGAGUGAAGUUGAUCCUGGCUCAGGAUGAACGCUAGCGGCAGGCUUAUACACAUGCAAGUCGAGGGGUAAGGAGAAGCUUGCUUUUCUGAGACCGGCGCACGGGUGCGUAACGCGUAUGCAAUCUACCUUUCACAAAGGGAUAGCCCAGAGAAAUUUGGAUUAGCACCUUAUAGUAUAAUUGAAUGGCAUCAUUUAAUUAUUAAAGAUUUAUCGGUGAAAGAGGAGCACCUAUCCCAUUAGCUAGUUGGUAUGGUAACGGCAUACCAAGGCUACGAUGGACUGGGGUCCUGAGAGGGAGAUCCCCUUGACUGGUACUGAGACACGGACCAGACUCCUCCUGGAGGGAUAGUGAGGAAUAUUGGACAAUGGGCGGCUGCCUGAUCCAGCCAUGCCGCGUGCAGGAUGACGGUCCUAUGAUCUGUAAACUGCUUUUAUACAGGAAGAAACUAGUCUACGUGUAGCAGCUUGACGGUACUGUAAGAAUAAGGAUCCGCUAACUCCGUGCCAGCAGCCGCGGUAAUACGGAGGAUCCAAGCGUUAUCCGGAAUCAUUGGGUUUAAAGGGUCCGUAGGCGGUCAGAUCAUUCAGUGGUGAAAGCCCAUCGCUCAACGGUGGAACGGCCAUUGAUACUGUCUGACUUGAAUUAUUAGGAAGUAACUAGAAUAUGUAGUGUAGCGGUGAAAUGCUUAGAGAUUACAUGGAAUACCAAUUGCGCCGGCAGGUUACUACUAAUAUAUUGACGCUGAUGGACGAAAGCGUGGGUAGCGAACAGGAUUAGAUACCCUGGUAGUCCACGCCGUAAACGAUGGAUACUAGCUGUUCCGAGCAAUCUCAGUGGCUAAGCGAAAGUGAUAAGUAUCCCACCUGGGGAGUACGAACGCAAGUUUGAAACUCAGAGGAAUUGACGGCCGCCCGCACAAGCGGUGGAGCAUGUGGUUUAAUUCGAUGAUACGCGAGGAACCUUACCAAGGCUUAAAUGUAGAUUGACCGGUUUGGAAACAGAUCUUUCGCAAGACAAUUUACAAGGUGCUGCCGUCAGCUCGUGCCGUGAGGUGUCAGGUUAAGUCCUAUAACGAGCGCAACCCCUGUUGUUAGAAUCAAGCGAGUCAUGUCGGGAACUCUAACGAGACUGCCAGUGCAAACUGUGAGGAAGGUGGGGAUGACGUCAAAUCAUCACCACCCUUACGCCUUGGGCUACACACGUGCUACAAUGGCCGGUAGUGAGAGCAGCCACUGGGUGACGAGGAGCGAAUCUACAAAACCGGUCACAGUUCGGAUCGGAGUCUGCAACUCGACGGAUGAAGCUGGAAUCACUAGUAAUCGGAUAUCAGCCAUGAUCCGGUGAAUACGUUCCCGGGCCUCAUUACACCGCCCGUCAGUUCAUGCGAGCUCGGGGUGCCUGAAGUCGGUGACCGCAAGGAGCUGCCUAGGGUAAAACUGGUAACUAGGGCUAAGUGAGUAACAAGGUAACCG